AUAUUUAAUAUGUGUUUAUUUGUUACAAAUAGUUACUUUAAAUUAAAAAUAUUUCUCACAUAGAUCUCUAUACAAAAUAGUUUGGCUCUGGCUAGUAUAUAUAACUUAAGCAAAAGAAUAUACAUGGUUUUUAUUGAGUUUAGUGAGUAUUAAUUAUAAUUAAUUUACUAAUAGUAAAUAUAUAUAGUUUAUUGGUAUUAUAAUUUACAUGAUGCCUAGAGUAAUUUCACUAACACCAGUAAUUAAUUUUAAUAAAUAAGUGUAAGCUUGAUUUAGUUUAGUUUAUAGAAAGUUUGGUGAAAAUUGGUGCCAGCAACUGCGGCUAAACCAGUGAACUUAAUUAUAUUGAUUGGUUUAAAAAGUAGUUAUAAAUAUUCUAUGUUUAUAGAUUUUUUAUAUAGAGGUAUAAUUUUAGUAUAUAAAAAUAUUUCUUUAUAAACUUUUAGUUUUGAAGCUACGACAGCCAUAAGGGAAACUGGGAUUAGAAACCCCAUUAUUUAUAGAAUUAAAUAAAUUAAAAUUUACCUGGGUACUACGAAUAUUAAGUUUAAAACUCAAAGAGCUUGGCGGUGUUUUAGACUCUUCAGGGGAACCUGUUUUGUAAUCGAUGAUCCACGUGAUACCUAACUUUUUCUUGAAAAUAGGUUAAUUACUAUACCAGUCUGUAUACCGUCGUCGUCAGGUAACCUUUAAGAGUAUUAGAGUUAGCGGUAAGUAAAAAAUUUUAUUAAUUAUGAUGUCAGAUCAAGGUGCAACUAACGGAAAAGUAAAGAUGGGUUACAAUUAUAAAUUUAUAUAUGGAUAAGGAUAUGAAAUAUUCUUUUAAAUAGGACUUGAAAGUAAAAUCUUUUAUAUAUAAAAAUGGUUUGAACUUUGCUCUGAAAUGUGCACAAAUCGCCCGUCGCUCUCGUUGAAAAAUGAGAUAAGUCGUAACAUAGUAGGGUUAAUGGAAAUUGUUCCUAGAUGAUU
rnacentral:ncRNA from 1 species